UAAGCGUAGCGAUACGUUGAGCUAACCAAUACUAAUGAACCGUGAGGCUUAACCUGACAACACUGAAGGUGUUUUAG
rnacentral:rRNA from 1 species